ensembl:lncRNA
UUCUUUACUUCUACAUUCGUUGAACUCAUUCAACUUUCUUAAAGACAAUCAAUUGCAUUUCAAAUAUAAAAAUAAAACAAACCACAUUCAGAAACAUGAAACAGACAGACUUCGGAGCAACAACAUAUUUUGUCUUAUUAAUAUUAGUCAAGCCAAAAUUUUAAUUUGCAUUAGGGCCUGUUAGUCUAAGCUGUUGUGUACUAAGGUGAUUAGGAUCAUUUGUUAAGAUAUAAAUGCAGUGUGAAUCAAUGGUGAAGUCUGCUAUGAGUUAUACGAUUAUAUAUAUUACACCAACCACUUAUUAACAGAUAAUAACUGAUUAUAGAACAGCAUAGAAACAAGUUUUUAAUACAUUAAUAAUAACAACUUACAAGUGUAUAAUAUACAGUCAGUGUAAAAGACCACAGCAGACAUUAUGAGGAAAACUCCAAUGAUGGAUUUUUAUUGUGUGAGACCGAGAGCAUUAUAGGGGACACUAAGAUGAAUUUUCAGUGUUAAAAAAAUUCCAAAAAACGCUUUAAAUUCUUUUUCUUUGAAUCCCGUAGUUUCAAAAAAGUCCUCUAUAACAACAGAAGGGUUUUUCUGGCCUCCUAACAAAGCCCAGUUAUGUUUUCGACAAAUUGCAAAGGUGGUAUGAUUCUUAAAAAGCCAGGAGUCACCAUCUAAUGCUGAACCUGGAAUGUAAGCAGUUUGUCUCUUUUCUUCUACAUUUGCUGAACUCGUUCCUCUUUCUUAAAGACAAUCAAUUACGUUUAAAAGAAAAAUAAAACAAACCCCAUACAGAAACAUCACAGACUCCAGAGCAACAUCACGAGCACUAACGGACAUACAGACUGAGAGCCUCCUCCCACUCCAAAACCAAGCUACAGACCAUCCGCUUUAAAAAAAAAAAAAAGAAAGAAAGAAAGAAGAGAUAAAAACAGAAAAUCAACAAAACGAAAGAAAGACGCCGCCUUUUUCCACACCUCUCGUGUUGUAGACACCUAAUACAGCUGCGGCCGAACACAAGACUCGUUUAGUCAGCUUUGUUUUUUGUGCUAAAAACCUGAACCAGUAUUUACAAAUUCGCUGAUAAAAAUAUUCCUCUGGUGGUGAUGGGCAGAGAGGAGGUUGUUGAGAGAGAAUAUUGGGAAAGAGAGAGGAAGAUAAAAGAAAGGAAAGAGGGGAAAGGGAAAGGACGGACGGAUGGAUGGACAGGCGUGGUGCUACUCUGUCUUCGGGUCCUCCUUCUCGGCCUCCGCCGCCUCGUCUGGAGUUUUCUCAACCUGUGGAAUAAAAAGGACAACCAAUCAGAAUCUUACUUUGGAGACAGAGGAGGUCAGGUUUAGAAAAGUCUCCUUAGUUUAGGCUGUAAGUGUCUUUCUAGGCAAUUAUUUGAACUAUGUUACUAAGUACUUUGGCAAUCUCAUUAGGAAAUAUGAAAUAAAAC